GACGAACGCUGGCGGCGUGCCUAAUACAUGCAAGUCGAGCGCAGGAAACUGACGGAACUCUUCGGAGGGAAGGCAGUGGAAUGAGCGGCGGACGGGUGAGUAACACGUAAGGAACCUGCCUCAAGGAUUGGGAUAACUCCGAGAAAUCGGAGCUAAUACCGGAUAGUUCAACGGACCGCAUGGUCCGCUGAUGAAAGGCGCUUCGGCGUCACCUUGAGAUGGCCUUGCGGUGCAUUAGCUAGUUGGUGGGGUAACGGCCCACCAAGGCGACGAUGCAUAGCCGACCUGAGAGGGUGAUCGGCCACACUGGGACUGAGACACGGCCCAGACUCCUACGGGAGGCAGCAGUAGGGAAUCUUCCACAAUGGACGAAAGUCUGAUGGAGCAACGCCGCGUGAGUGAUGAAGGUUUUCGGAUCGUAAAACUCUGUUGUAAGGGAAGAACACGUACGAGAGGAAAUGCUCGUACCUUGACGGUACCUUACGAGAAAGCCACGGCUAACUACGUGCCAGCCGCCGCAGUAA
rnacentral:rRNA from 1 species